AGUGAACGCUGGCGGUAGGCCUAACACAUGCAAGUCGAACGGCAGCACAGUAAGAGCUUGCUCUUACGGGUGGCGAGUGGCGGACGGGUGAGGAAUACAUCGGAAUCUACUUUUUCGUGGGGGAUAACGUAGGGAAACUAACGCUAAUACCGCAUACGACCUACGGGUGAAAGCAGGGGAUCUUCGGACCUUGCGCGAUUGAAUGAGCCGAUGUCGGAUUAGCUAGUUGGCGGGGUAAAGGCCCACCAAGGCGACGAUCCGUAGCUGGUCUGAGAGGAUGACCAGCCACACUGGAACUGAGACACGGUCCAGACUCCUACGGGAGGCAGCAGUGGGGAAUAUUGGACAAUGGGCGCAAGCCUGAUCCAGCCAUACCGCGUGGGUGAAGAAGGCCUUCGGGUUGUAAAGCCCUUUUGUUGGGAAAGAAAAGCAGCAGGUUAAUACCCCGCUGUUCUGACGGUACCCAAAGAAUAAGCACCGGCUAACUUCGUG
rnacentral:rRNA from 1 species